rnacentral:rRNA from 1 species
UACGGGGGGAGCAAGCGUUGUUCGGAUUUACUGGGCGUAGAGGGCGCGUAGGCGGCGCGACAAGUCACUUGUGAAAUCUCCGGGCUUAACCCGGAGCGGCCAAGUGAUACUGUAGUGCUAGAGUGCGGAAGGGGCUACUGGAAUUCUCGGUGUAGCGGUGAAAUGCGUAGAUAUCGAGAGGAACACCUGCGGCGAAGGCGGGUAGCUGGGCCGACACUGACGCUGAGGCGCGAAAGCCAGGGGAGCGAACGGG